rnacentral:rRNA from 1 species
AUAUCAAUAAGCGGAGGAAAAGAAACUAACAAGGAUUCCCCUAGUAACUGCGAGUGAAGCGGGAAAAGCUCAAAUUUAAAAUCUGGUGGCCUCUGGUCGCCCGAGUUGUAAUUUAGAGAAGCGUCUUCCGCGCUGGACCAUGCACAAGUCUCCUGGAAUGGAGCGUCAUAGAGGGUGAGAAUCCCGUCUUUGGCAUGGAUGCACCAGGGCUUUCGUGAUGCGCUCUCAAAGAGUCGAGUUGUUUGGGAAUGCAGCUCAAAAUGGGUGGUGAACUCCAUCUAAAGCUAAAUAUAGGCGAGAGACCGAUAGCGAACAAGUACCGUGAGGGAAAGAUGAAAAGCACUUUGGAAAGAGAGUGAAACAGUACGUGAAAUUGUUGAAAGGGAAACGCUUGAAGUCAGUCGCGUCGACCGAGACUCAGCCUCGCCUUGGCUUGGUGUACUUCUCGGCCGACGGGUCAGCGUCAAUUUUGCCCCUCGGAUAAUGGCAAGGGAAAGGUAGCACCUUUAUAGGUGUGUUAUAGUCUCUUGUCGCAUGCGAGGGUCGGGAUUGAGGAACUCAGCACGCACCUCUCGGUGUCGGGGCUUCGGCCCACGCUACGUGCUUAGGAUGCUGGCGUAAUGGCUUUAAACGACCCGUCUUGAAACACGGACCAAGGAGUCUAACAUGCCCGCGAGUGUUCGGGUGGAAAACCCGUGCGCGUAAUGAAAGUAAAAGUUGGGACCUCUGUCGUGGGGGGCACCGACGCCCGGACCAGACCUUCUGUGACGGAUCUGCGGUAGAGCGUGCAUGUUGGGACCCGAAAGAUGGUGAACUAUGCCUGAAUAGGGUGAAGCCAGAGGAAACUCUGGUGGAGGCUCGUAGCGAUUCUGACGUGCAAAUCGAUCGUCAAAUUUGGGUAUAGGGGCGAAAGACUAAUCGAACCAUCUAGUAGCUGGUUCCUGC